rnacentral:SRP_RNA from 1 species
UUGCAGGCUAGACUGGAGGGUUAGUCCUACUCUGUAAACACAAACGGACUUUAUGGUGUAGUCGAAGCUUGAGAGGCGGUAUAAGUAUUUCGGUGGGUCCUAACAGCUACUGUGAUACUCUGUCCUAUUUGGCGGGUACUUUUAUGAAAUGUGUCAGGCCAGGAAUGGAGCAGCACUAAGUAAUGGCAUCUGUGCUUUUAGGGUAGCGGGGUAGAGGAAUGGUUGGGGUCAGCCUGUUGAGGUAUUUAUAUCCACUCUCAGGUGUGCCUGUUU